UACGUAGGGUGCGAGCGUUAAUCGGAAUUACUGGGCGUAAAGCGUGCGCAGGCGGUUUUGUAAGCCAGAUGUGAAAUCCCCGGGCUUAACCUGGGAAUGGCAUUUGGGACUGCAAGGCUUGAGUGCGGCAGAGGAGACUGGAAUUCCUGGUGUAGCAGUGAAAUGCGUAGAGAUGCGGAGGAACACCGAUGGCGAAGGCAGCCCCCCUGGGCUAACACUGACGCUCAGGCACGAAAGCGUGGGGAGCAAACAGG
rnacentral:rRNA from 1 species